CCGUCAAGACGUCUUAUUAGCUGGGAUAAAAGCCGCGAUAGCGAAGGGCCGGCUUGGCAAAGAAGGCCGUGAACCCCCGCGGGCCAGCGUUGACCUCCACCUGAUCCCUCACAAACUGUAAUGACAGCCCCGGCCGAAUCCAACUGGCAGCCGUCAGCCAACGAGCGCUGGACUGUGAAGCGUUCGGAACCCUUAAUUAACAACAUACACAGUGCAACGCGCGUCCGAUCGCUGCCAGUGGGAUGAAAGGAUGCCGGUGGCAAGUAACCAAGGUUAAAUAUUUUCUUACUAUAAUCAAACUGAUUUUUCAGGAAUCUGGUUCUGACUUGAAUACUGGGGUACCUUCCAAGAAGUCAUGCAUUGAAAUGAAUGGAAACACCAAAAAUGUGUCAUGUGAUUUUUAUUUUAUUUUUUUGCACAACAAUGGGUACUUCUACUUAAAGGGGCGGAGCCUGCGGCAAAAAUGAUCUUCCUGUGUCUCCACUUGUCUUAAAAACUUCAUUCUGAUUACAAUUGCAUGAAUGUCCAUUAAGUCGCUGCCACAGUGUCCUGCACCGCCAUCUGCUGUCGAGUGAAACUGAAGUCAAAGUGCCCUCGGGCUUACAUUGCGAGCGUCAUGUGACCAAAUGCAGAAAACAGUCAAGUUCGAGGAAGGCUGAGAUCCAAAUCAACCAUCACCACCACACUCAGUACAGACAAGAAGACAUUGUCGACGAAUUCCCGACCACAUACGUCUUUGCUCUUGCGAAGAAUACAACUUUUUUUUUCCCCUUGUAAAAAUGCUGUUUUUACACCAAGUCCCAUCCAUGAGGAAAUAGUUUGUGUUUUGAGUCACGAGUGAGUCUUUUGUUUUUCUUAAACUGUCGCCGCUGAUGUCAAAUUUGAACUUUGUGGCUCAAGUUGAGCUUUGAGAAUUGAGAUUUUCCAUCGUAAAAAAGAUUCGAGGUUAUUCAACUUUUCCCCUGAGAAACAUAAGUCUGACUCCAUUCUUUGAAUAAAUGAGCUUGUGACACCACAAAAACAGGAAAA